CUCUCUCUCUCUCUCUCUCUCACACACACACACACACACACACACCACAGAGACAGGCACAUACACACUGACUCACACACACAGACUCACACAAAGCAAGAGGCAUGAAGAGCACAGGACCCCUGAUGUUAGGCUUCAAGGAAGGCACUAGCGAUUGAGGAUUUCAUCAUGAAAACACGGCAGAAGAAGGGGUCUUAGAGAACCUGGAAGCCACUAUCCUAAGAGAAUCCACCGAAGAAAUGAAUACCCAGUGUGCUUCACUGGUGUCAGCCAGCAAAGGCUCUUUAGCUGUUUGGAAACAGCCAUGCUUCACCGAGUCAGACAUCUGUCCACAGGGAAACCACGGUGAAGCUCUCCUCUGCUUUGAACACAUGUUUGAGCUCCAGUUCCCAGCACGAACGUGGGCUGCAGAGCAUCAAGCUAAGAAUUGGACAUUCUGAGGCCAGAUUGGCAGUGGCCCCCGGUAUUUGGCAGGAGUAAACGCAGAUCUUCUCAAGGCUAAAGCACCUUCAAAGGGAAUGCUUUCAAGAGAGGCACAUGCUUCAAAGAAAGGCCUCGGGCUUCAAAGAAAGUUCCAAAAUGUCUAAGUGUAAAGAGAAGGGAAAAGGAAUCCCAGAACAGAUAAGUAAACAAGGUAUUGUCAGAGAGAAUCUGCAGAGACCACACCCAGCAGAUGCAACCAACAGACACUGGACAAACACAUAAUAUAGAUAUACUUAACAGAUUGACAAAACAUCUUGACUUGAAAACAAGUAAAAGAAGCUACAUAAACUGACAAAUCAGAACUGAAGAAAAGCAAGGAUAUCCCUGGAGAAUAAAUCUUCGAUAAAUGCAAUUCAAAACUCAGAACAGAUACGAAGGACAGAUUAGACACAGCCCAGGAAAGAAAUGACGAAAUGCAGGUGAAACUGAUAAAAAAGAGGCCGAGUGGAGACAAGGAGGUGGGAAGCAGUCGGGGGUGGAGAACAUGAGAGGAAAGCUGCAGUGAGCACAUCCAGCUGUGGAGAGGAACAGUGCUGAGUGCAGAUGCAGAAACUUCUCUUGGAUUGAUGAGACUCCCAGUCAAUCCCAAUCCUCGGAGUUGGGCUCUUUAGUGCACCUCAAACAGAAUCUCAAGCUAAGAUGUCCCAGGACCUAAAAGAGAGAGAGAAAAGACAAAUGACCACCUAAGAGCCAUAGGGAGGCCUGUGAUUUCCCCACGAGGCAGGACAGUCCUAUCACAGAACGCUGGAAGUAAAUAACCCUUAACUAGCGCAGGGGUCCAUUGGGAAAGCCUUUCAGUAAAGUGACGAGCAACAACGAGAGACGUUUUUCCCACUAGGCCCUCACUAAUGGACAUCCUCUUGAGCACACGCUCCGGGGAGGGAAAUGGUCCCAGAAAGAGGGUGGGACAGAGAGGAAGGAAGCACACGGGUAUCACAAACAACACAAGGCAAAAGUCGCACCCAUGUGUUCAUUCCUCAGAAAAGCAUCUAUGCAAAUGUGGAACGCAUAUCUCUGGGGCAUGCAUCAAGGGGGAAAUUCACGUGGUACACACACUGAAUUUCAGGUAAUGUUUGCUGGCUCCCAGAGAAAGCAAAAUGAGUUAUGGUGGCUAUGUUCUACUUCUAUAACCGAGUCACUGUUUUCAGAAGUUACCUUUCUGUUGCUGGGAUAAAACACCACACCCAAGGUAACUUAAAGAAAGUUUUAUUUUUUCUAUGGUUCUUAAGGUUCGGGAGCAUAGUGGGGGAGUGUGGCUGUAGUUCAAACGGAGAGGGCAUGUCUUGAACCACCAAGCGGGGAGAACUGGGACUGGCCCCAUUGUUUAAACUCUCAAAGCCCAACCUCCCGGUGAUGUACUUCCUCCAAAGCCACACCUUCUAAGCACCCCCCCCCCAACACUGCCACUAAUGGAUGGCCAAGUGCUCAGAGACACUAGCCUAUGGGGACAUUCUCAUUCAAACCACAUUAUUUUACAUUGUUUGUACCUUUGGUAUGUUUGAGGUUUCAUGUGAUUUGGAAGAUUCAAAUAUUCUCUCAAAACACACCUCAAAACUAUAGCUAGUAUGUUUUGAACCAAAAGCUCUAAAUUUGAUCCACUUCACAUGCAUGUCUGGAACAUGCUUCCUGCACUGUGCUCCAGAGAGACUGAAAGACAGAUGGGAAAUAGGAAAGAUUUUAUCCCAUAUGACAUAUCCCAAAAUCAGUAUUAGGUCACAGACAAACUGACCAUCUGAUAUUGGUAUCCUCCAGAUCUUUUCAUGUGACACUUUGGCUGUGUGUGUGUGUGUGUGUGUGUGUGUGUGUGUGUGUGUGUGUGUGUGUG